rnacentral:rRNA from 1 species
GACGGAGGAUGCAAGCGUUAUCCGGAAUGAUUGGGCGUAAAGCGUCCGCAGGUGGCAGUUCAAGUCUGCUGUCAAAGACCGGGGCUUAACUUCGGAAAGGCAGUGGAAACUGAACAGCUAGAGUAUGGUAGGGGCAGAGGGAAUUCCUGGUGUAGCGGUGAAAUGCGUAGAGAUCAGGAAGAACAUCGGUGGCGAAGGCGCUCUGCUGGACCAUAACUGACACUCAGGGACGAAAGCUGGGGGAGCAAACAGG